GAUGAAGAACGUAGCGAAAUGCGAUAAGUAGUGUGGAUUGCAGAAUUCAGUGAAUCAUCGAAUCUUUGAACGCACAUUGCGCCCCUUGGUAUUCCAUGGGGCAUGCCUGUUCGAGCGUCAUUUGUACCUUCAAGCUCUGCUUGGUGUUGGGUGUUUGUCCUUGCUCUAGUGGCGGGACUCGCCUUAAAGUAAUUGGCAGCCAGUGUUUUGGUAUUGAAGCGCAGCACAAGUCGCGAUUCAAGUCUAUACGCUAGUUUCCACAAGUCUUUUAUCACUUUUGACCUCGGAUCAGGUAGGGAUACCCGCUGAACUUAAGCAUAUCAAUAAGCGGAGGA
rnacentral:misc_RNA from 1 species